GAAGGGCUAUAGGUCAGUGGUAGAACAUCUGUUUUGCAAGCAGAAGGUCCCAUGUUCAAUCCCCGGCAUCUUCA